GACGAACGCUGGCGGCGUGCUUAACACAUGCAAGUCGAACGGAAAGGCCCUUCUGGGGCUACUUGCGCGGUGAACGGGUGAGUAAGAAGUGAGUAAUCAGCCCUAGAUAUCGUGCUUACUACCGGGAACUGGGGCUAAUAAAGGAUAGGUAUUCUCGCAGCAUGGUGGUUGUUGGAAAGCAUUGGCGGUAUUGGAUGGAUUCCCGGCUUACCAGCUUGUUGGUGGGGGAGUGACUUACCAAGGGAUUGACGGGUAGCCCGCCUGGGGGGGGGAACGGCGACAAUAGGACUGAGGUACGGCGCAGACUCGUACGGGCGGCAACAGUGGGGAGUAUUGCACAAUAGGCGGGCGCCUGUUGCGACGACGCCGCGUGCGGGAUGACCGCCUUCAGGUUGUGAACCGCUUUGAGCAGGGAAGAAGCAUGUGGUGACGGUACCUGCAGAAGAAGCACCGGCUAACUACGUG
rnacentral:rRNA from 1 species